GGCUUCUGCAAGUUCAAAACGACGUAGAUGCCGCCGAUGAUAAAACGGAGUUAUUUUUAUGUAUUCUCUUAACAAAAUCCAUUUUUAAAACAGCAAUAACAUUAUAUUAUAUAGAUACGUACACCUAUUUCGAGUUUUCAGUGCGAUUAAAAUUAUUAAGCGCCCGACUACCUAGCUCAAUGCGACGCGAUUAAGAUAAACGAAUGAUAGGUAAGUGACGAUUAACUAU